rnacentral:lncRNA from 1 species
ACUAACACCAAUUCACCCAUCUCUUGGUGUAAAACGAAGCCAACCUAUUUCCUAACAUCUUCUUCCAUCUCCCACUUUUACCCAUUUUCACGUCACCCCAUCAUCGUCAUCACUCCAAAUUUACCAUGCACACCAACAACCAUACAUAUUGCACAAUAUAAUAAAGAAUAUCAUACAACUCCAAACCUUACACGCACAAGGUAAUUCUAGUCACUCUCCUUACCUGGUCUCUUACAAUUUUUGUUUCCAAGAUCACUAAGAAAGGUUCACAACAUCACCGAUGGUCCUCCCAUUUUUGAUGCCCCAUUCUCGGCUUUAUUUUCUCCUAGAAAACGUCUUUUCUCUCCCUUGUCUUUCUAAUUUUCAUUUUUUCCUUAUAGGGUAACAAAAUGCCAACCCCUUUUUAUUCUUCUCCUUUUUAUCGUCCUUUAUUAUAUCUCUAUCUUUUUAAUUUUAAUAAAAUCUCUCAGUUUAUCUCUAAAACCACUAAGAUUUCCUCUCUUAUUCUCUCUUAACUACUUUUUAAAAUAUCAUCAACCAC